rnacentral:rRNA from 1 species
UACGGGGGGAGCAAGCGUUGUUCGGAUUCACUGGGCGUAAAGGGUGCGUAGGUGGUGAGGAAAGUCGGAUGUGAAAUCUCCGGGCUUAACCCGGAAAUGGCAUUGGAAACUACCUUGCUAGAGGUUUUGAGGGGGGACUGGAAUUCUCGGUGUAGCAGUGAAAUGCGUAGAUAUCGAGAGGAACACCAGUGGCGAAGGCGAGUCCCUGGAAAACACCUGACACUGAGGCACGAAAGCUAGGGGAGCAAACAGG